UUAAAUUGAAGAGUUUGAUCAUGGCUCAGAUUGAACGCUGGCGGCAGGCCUAACACAUGCAAGUCGAACGGUAACAGGAAGCAGCUUGCUGCUUCGCUGACGAGUGGCGGACGGGUGAGUAAUGUCUGGGAAACUGCCUGAUGGAGGGGGAUAACUACUGGAAACGGUAGCUAAUACCGCAUAACGUCGCAAGACCAAAGAGGGGGACCUUCGGGCCUCUUGCCAUCGGAUGUGCCCAGAUGGGAUUAGCUAGUAGGUGGGGUAACGGCUCACCAAGGCGACGAUCCCUAGCUGGUCUGAGAGGAUGACCAGCCACACUGGAACUGAGACACGGUCCAGACUCCUACGGGAGGCAGCAGUGGGGAAUAUUGCAC
rnacentral:rRNA from 1 species